GGUUAUUUACUAAACUGAGAAUUCAAAGUGAAUUUUAAAAUUUUCAAAAAAGCUAUACUGGAAAGCUUCUCUGCCCAUAAAUUUGAAAUUCACUUUGAAUGCUGAGCUUAGUAAAUAUGCACUGUAUAUGUGUGCAUCCCUGUAAUAUGUCCCCCCAGACAUCUGUGUAUUUAACCCUGUGGUGUAUGAAUGCUUAACUCUGCGUUGUGUUCCGCUGCAUUCUGCAAGGUUAUGGCCUCGCAUUGUGUGUUUAACUUGAACUGCGUUUCCCAGAUCGUUUGUUGCUACAUUGUGUUCCCAACCUAUUGCGUGCAACAUUGCGCUGUGUUCUACAGCUGGCUCUGUGCAUGUGUGGCCAUGCAAUUAGGGAUUUGACAGACAAUU